UACGGAGGGGGCAAGCGUUGCUCGGAAUCACUGGGCGUAAAGGGUGCGUAGGCGGGUCUUUAAGUCAGGGGUGAAAUCCUGGAGCUCAACUCCAGAACUGCCUUUGAUACUGAAGAUCUUGAGUUCGGGAAAGGUGAGUGGAACUGCGAGUGUAGAGGUGAAAUUCGUAGAUAUUCGCAAGAACACCAGUGGCGAAGGCGGCUCACUGGCCCGAUACUGACGCUGAGGCACGAAAGCGUGGGGAGCAAACAGG
rnacentral:rRNA from 1 species